UCGAGCGGACCGACGGGAGCUUGCUCCCUUAGGUCAGCGGCGGACGGGUGAGUAACACGUGGGUAACCUGCCUGUAAGACUGGGAUAACUCCGGGAAACCGGGGCUAAUACCGGAUGCUUGAUUGAACCGCAUGGUUCAAUCAUAAAAGGUGGCUUUCAGCUACCACUUGCAGAUGGACCCGCGGCGCAUUAGCUAGUUGGUGAGGUAACGGCUCACCAAGGCGACGAUGCGUAGCCGACCUGAGAGGGUGAUCGGCCACACUGGGACUGAGACACGGCCCAGACUCCUACGGGAGGCAGCAGUAGGGAAUCUUCCGCAAUGGACGAAAGUCUGACGGAGCAACGCCGCGUGAGUGAUGAAGGUUUUCGGAUCGUAAAACUCUGUUGUUAGGGAAGAACAAGUACCGUUCGAAUAGGGCGGYACCUUGACGGUACCUAACCAGAAAGCCACGGCUAACUACGUGCCAGCAGCCGCGGUAAUACGUAGGUGGCAAGCGUUGUCCGGAAUUAUUGGGCGUAAAGCGCGCGCAGGCGGUUUCUUAAGUCUGAUGUGAAAGCCCCCGGCUCAACCGGGGAGGGUCAUUGGAAACUGGGGAACUUGAGUGCAGAAGAGGAGAGUGGAAUUCCACGUGUAGCGGUGAAAUGCGUAGAGAUGUGGAGGAACACCAGUGGCGAAGGCGACUCUCUGGUCUGUAACUGACGCUGAGGCGCGAAAGCGUGGGGAGCGAACAGGAUUAGAUACCCUGGUAGUCCACGCCGUAAACGAUGAGUGCUAAGUGUUAGAGGGUUUCCGCCCUUUAGUGCUGCAGCAAACGCAUUAAGCACUCCGCCUGGGGAGUACGGUCGCAAGACUGAAACUCAAAGGAAUUGACGGGGGCCCGCACAAGCGGUGGAGCAUGUGGUUUAAUUCGAAGCAACGCGAAGAACCUUACCAGGUCUUGACAUCCUCUGACAACCCUAGAGAUAGGGCUUCCCCUUCGGGGGCAGAGUGACAGGUGGUGCAUGGUUGUCGUCAGCUCGUGUCGUGAGAUGUUGGGUUAAGUCCCGCAACGAGCGCAACCCUUGAUCUUAGUUGCCAGCAUUCAGUUGGGCACUCUAAGGUGACUGCCGGUGACAAACCGG
rnacentral:rRNA from 2 species